GGAGAGAUGGCCGAGUGGAUUAAAGCGGCGGAUUGCUAAUCCGUUGUAUAAGUUCCUUAUACCGAGGGUUCGAAUCCCUCUCUCUCCU
rnacentral:tRNA from 1 species